rnacentral:rRNA from 1 species
GAUGAACGCUGGCGGUAUGCUUAACACAUGCAAGUCGAACGGACUCUUCGGAGUUAGUGGCGGACGGGUGAGUAACGCGUGAGAAUCUGGCUUUGGGUUCGGGACAACCACUGGAAACGGUGGCUAAUACCGGAUGUGCCGAGAGGUAAAAGAGAAAUUGCCUGAAGAUGAGCUCGCGUCUGAUUAGCUAGUUGGUGAGGUAAAGGCUCACCAAGGCAGCGAUCAGUAGCUGGUCUGAGAGGAUGACCAGCCACACUGGGACUGAGACACGGCCCAGACUCCUGCGGGAGGCAGCAGUGGGGAAUUUUCCGCAAUGGGCGAAAGCCUGACGGAGCAGUACCGCGUGAGGGAAGAAGGCUCUUGGGUUGUAAACCUCUUUUCUUAGGGAAGAACAAAAUGACGGUACCUAAGGAAUCAGCAUCGGCUAACUCCGUG